GGUAGCUCAUACGGACAUGUUUUGAAUUUAAUUGUUUGUAAAAAUGCAGACAUGUGAGAGAGGGACGAGAAGACCCUAUAGAUCUUAAAAAAGUUUUUAAUUAAAUUUUGAUUGGAAAUUUUUUUUAUUUGGGGAAAAUCCUGAAAUGUAUUAAAACUUCGGUUAAUAAAAAAAUUUAAUAAUUAAUUUUUGAUCCAUUUGUAGAGUGAAAAAAUGAAAAAGUUACCUUAGGGAUAACAGCGAUUUUCGGUGGCUCGUAGGUUUCCUCCAGACACAGUCGGUCUCUUCACCGAAAGGUUUGCGGGGCCCUCGCUUGGCUUAUUGAUACAGCCGAGCGAUUACAAAAAACACACUUCCACAACAAAUUAUAGAAUUU
rnacentral:rRNA from 1 species